rnacentral:misc_RNA from 1 species
CCUCCCUUUUCGCGUCAUAGAAAAACUACGUGCAUCUCCAUUCCAUAUAUCAUUGCUAAAGGCCAAAAUACUGCAGAUUCGACAAUUACAAAAUACGAUCGCCACAGCGAAAGCCACGUUCCUCUCCAGUCUCCACAGACCAUUGACCCUCCAAUUUGCGAAGGUUCAACAACUCAGUAGAAAACUACAUUCCUCUCCAGUGAACAUUGGUUUUCACGACUCAGUUCAAAAGGGAAACACAAACGCUGCAUCAGAACUAGAACUCCAGCCUGUAGGAGAAAGCUUGCAGGGACACACACCAAUCCACUCCAGAACUAUCGGAACUUAAAACUACAACAUGUCAUCAUAUUUGUCCUCCAGUAGUGACGAGUUUGGCACCACAUCAGAAGAUUCUUGCCCACUGGCAAGCAGGUUGUACUGAUAUUACAGAAG